rnacentral:rRNA from 1 species
ACGGGUGAGUAACACGUGGGUAACCUGCCCAUAAGACUGGGAUAACUCCGGGAAACCGGGGCUAAUACCGGAUAACAUUUUGAACCACAUGGUUCGAAAUUGAAAGGCGGCUUCGGCUGUCACUUAUGGAUGGACCCGCGUCGCAUUAGCUAGUUGGUGAGGUAACGGCUCACCAAGGCAACGAUGCGUAGCCGACCUGAGAGGGUGAUCGGCCACACUGGGACUGAGACACGGCCCAGACUCCUACGGGAGGCAGCAGUAGGGAAUCUUCCGCAAUGGACGAAAGUCUGACGGAGCAACGCCGCGUGAGUGAUGAAGGCUUUCGGGUCGUAAAACUCUGUUGUUAGGGAAGAACAAGUGCUAGUUGAAUAAGCUGGCACCUUGACGGUACCUAACCAGAAAGCCACGGCUAACUACGUGCCAGCAGCCGCGGUAAUACGUAGGUGGCAAGCGUUAUCCGGAAUUAUUGGGCGUAAAGCGCGCGCAGGUGGUUUCUUAAGUCUGAUGUGAAAGCCCACGGCUCAACCGUGGAGGGUCAUUGGAAACUGGGAGACUUGAGUGCAGAAGAGGAAAGUGGAAU